GUGCGCGAGGGAGCACUCUCCCCUGAGUGCUCCCUCUUCAGCUCCCUUGCGCGCCGCGUAUUGAUGCCGGAGCCGGAAGAUGACGUCAUCUUCUGGCUCCGAUAUCAGUACGGUGCGCGAGGGAGCUGAAGAGGGAGCACUCGGGGGAGAGUGCUCCGUCGCCAGC